rnacentral:ncRNA from 1 species
UCGGUACGUGAGUACUGAUAUAUCACAUGCGGUAAGCCACUCCAACGGCCAUCCGCAUAAGUCCUGUAUGUGCCUGAGCCAUUCCAACGGCAGGGCGCCGACUACAAAAUACAAGGAG